ensembl:misc_RNA Vault Vault RNA
AGGUCGGCUUUAGAUCAAGCGGUUACUUCAUCAUGGCAGACUACUAAUCCCUACCAUGGGGUUCAAGACCUGCCAGUGCUUUCUGACUCUUUA